rnacentral:rRNA from 1 species
CUGACCGUAAACGAUGCCAACUAGCGAUCCGACGGUGGCUCCAAGGCCCUGUUGGGGAGCUUCCCGGAAACGAAAGUCUUCCGGUUCCGGGGGAAGUAUGGUUGCAAAGCUGAAACUUAAAGGAAUUGACGGAAGGGCACCACCAGGAGUGGAGCCUGCGGCUUAAUUUGACUCAACACGGGAAAACUCACCCGGCCCGGACACCGUGAGGAUUGACAGAUUGAUAGCUUUUUCAUGAUUCGGUGGUUGGUGGUGCAUGGCCGUUCUUAGUUCGUGGAUCGAUUUGUCUGGUUUAUUCCGAUAACGAGCGAGACUCCAGCCUACUAACUAGUGCGAGCAUUGCUUCUGUGCUCAGCACUUCUUAGAGGGAUUGGCUGCGUCUAGCGGCACGAAACGGAGCAAUAACAGGUCUGUGAUGCCCUUAGAUGUCCGGGGCUGCACGCGCGCUACACUGGCAAAGGCAGCGUGCUUGUCCGUCUCCGAAAGGAGCCGGUAAACCCUUGAAAAUUUGCCGUGAUUGGGAUCGGAAAUUGCAAUUAUUUUCCGUGAACGAGGAAUCCUAGUAAGUGCGAGUCAUCAGCUCGCGUUG